AUUGAACGCUGGCGGCAUGCUUUACACAUGCAAGUCGAACGGUAACAGGUUAAGCUGACGAGUGGCGAACGGGUGAGUAAUGCAUCGGAACGUGCCCGAUCGUGGGGGAUAACGCAGCGAAAGCUGCGCUAAUACCGCAUACGAUCUGAGGAUGAAAGCGGGGGACCGUAAGGCCUCGCGCGAUCGGAGCGGCCGAUGUCAGAUUAGGUAGUUGGUGGGGUAAAGGCUCACCAAGCCGACGAUCUGUAGCUGGUCUGAGAGGACGACCAGCCACACUGGGACUGAGACACGGCCCAGACUCCUACGGGAGGCAGCAGUGGGGAAUUUUGGACAAUGGGCGAAAGCCUGAUCCAGCAAUGCCGCGUGCAGGAAGAAGGCCUUCGGGUUGUAAACUGCUUUUGUACGGAGCGAAAAGGCUCUCUCUAAUACAGGGGGCUCAUGACGGUACCGUAAGAAUAAGCACCGGCUAACUCUGUGCCAGCAGCCGCCGUAAAAC
rnacentral:rRNA from 1 species